UACAGAGGUGGCAAGCGUUGUUCGGAAUUACUGGGCGUAAAGGGCGCGUAGGCGGUUCGUUAAGUCCUGUGUGAAAUCCCCCGGCUCAACUGGGGAACUGCACAGGAAACUAGCGGGCUUGAGUUCGGGAGAGGGAAGCGGAAUUCCGGGUGUAGCGGUGAAAUGCGUAGAUAUCCGGAGGAACACCGGUGGCGAAGGCGGCUUCCUGGACCGACACUGACGCUGAGGCGCGAAAGCUAGGGGGGCAAACGGG
rnacentral:rRNA from 1 species